GACGAACGCUGGCGGCGUGCUUAACACAUGCAAGUCGAGCGGUAAGGCCCUUUCGGGGGUACACGAGCGGCGAACGGGUGAGUAACACGUGGGUGACCUGCCCUCAGCUCUGGGAUAAGCCUGGGAAACCGGGUCUAAUACCGGAUAUGACCCCAUGACGCAUGUUGUGGGGUGGAAAGCCUUGUGCGGCUGAGGAUGGGCCCGCGGCCUAUCAGCUUGUUGGUGGGGUGAUGGCCUACCAAGGCGACGACGGGUAGCCGGCCUGAGAGGCGACCGGCCACACUGGGACUGAGACACGGCCCAGACUCCUACGGGAGGCAGCAGUGGGGAAUCUUGCGCAAUGGGCGAAAGCCUGACGCAGCGACGCCGCGUGAGGGAUGACGGCCU
rnacentral:rRNA from 1 species